AGCUCCAGUAGCGUAUAUUAAAGUUGUUGCAGUUAAAAAGCUCGUAGUUGGAUUUCUGGUACGCUGCGCCUGGCCCGCCCGCGUUAGCGGUGUGAGUGUCGGUGCGCGGUUGCCAUCCUUCUAGAGAACGUGUCUACCUUUAAUUAGGCCGGAUUCGGGAUCUAGAUCUUUUACUUUGAAAAAAUUAGAGUGUUUAAAGCAGGCUUUUGCUAUGAAUACAUUAGCAUGGAAUAAUAAUAUAGGACUUUGGUUCUAUUUUGUUGGUUUCUAGGACUAAAGUAAUGAUUGAUAGGGAUAGUUGGGGGUGCUAGUAUUCAGCGGCCAGAGGUGAAAUUCUUGGAUUCGCUGAAGACUAACUUAUGCGAAAGCAUUCACCAAGGAUGUCUUCU
rnacentral:rRNA from 1 species